GGUCCGUAGGCGGGCUGAUAAGUCAGAGGUGAAAGCGCUUAGCUCAACUAAGCAACUGCCUUUGAAACUGUUAGUCUUGAAUGAUUGUGAAGUAGUUGGAAUGUGUAGUGUAGCGGUGAAAUGCUUAGAUAUUACACAGAACACCGAUAGCGAAGGCAUAUUACUAACAAUUUAUUGACGCUGAUGGACGAAAGCGUGGGGAGCGAACAGGAUUAGAUACCCUGGUAGUCCACGCUGUAAACGAUGGAUACUAGCUGUUUGGAGCAAUCUGAGUGGCUAAGCGAAAGUGAUAAGUAUCCCACCUGGGGAGUACGCCGGCAACGGUGAAACUCAAAGGAAUUGACGGGGGCCCGCACAAGCGGAGGAACAUGUGGUUUAAUUCGAUGAUACGCGAGGAACCUUACCCGGGAUUGAAAUGUAGAUGACAGGCGGUGAAAGCUGCUCUCCCUUCGGGGCAUCUAUGUAGGUGCUGCAUGGUUGUCGUCAGCUCGUGUCGUGA
rnacentral:rRNA from 1 species